rnacentral:lncRNA from 1 species
AGGCGUGAUUGUGUUUUGAAAUGUGAGAGGUACAUGAGAUUUGUGGGGGGAGCAGGGCAAAAUGAUAUGGUUUAGCUCUGUUCUCCCCACCAAAUCUCAUGUCAAAUUGUAAUCUCCCAUGUUUGAGGAGGUGCCUGGUGGAAGGUGAUUGAAUCAUGGUAGUGGACUUUCCCCUUGCUGUUCUCAUGAUAGUGAGUAAAUUUUCAUGAGAUCUGGUUGUUUAAAAGUGUGUAACACUUCCCCUUUUGGUCUCUCUCCUGAUUCACCACGUGAAGAUAUGCCUGCUUCCCCUUCACAUUCUGCCAUGAUUGUGAGUUUCCUGAGGCCUCCUCAGCCAUGAUUCCUGUACAGCAUAUGUAACUCUUUUUAAUACCAUUGGUACCUGUGCCCAGUGGGGCACCACAUAGUGGAGCUGUGAGAAAAGGGCCACCGUCUUCUAGACCCCAAAAUGGUAGAUCCACUAACAGCUUGCAUCGUGUGCUUGGAAAAGCCUCAGACGCUCAAUGUCGGCCUGUGAAAGCAGCCGGGAGGGAGGCUGUACCCUGCAAAGCCACAGGGAUAGCACCGCCCAAGACCAUGGGAACCCACCUCUUGCAUCAGCAUGACCUGGAUGUGAGACAUGGAGUCAAAGGAGAUCAUUUUGGAACUUUAAGAUUUGACUGUCCCACUGGAUUUCUGACUUGCAUGGGGCUUGUAGCCCCUUUGUUUUGGCCAAUUUCUCCCACUUGGAAUAGCUAUAUUUACCCAAUGGCUAUACCCCUAUUGAAUCUAGGAAGUAAUUAACUUGCUUUUGAUUUUACGAGCUCAUAGGCAGAAGGCAUUUGCCUUAUCUAGGAUGAGACUUUGGACUGUGGACUUUUGAGUUAAUGCUGAAAUGAGUUCAGACUUGGGGGACUGUUGGGAAGCCAUGACUGAUUUUUAAACUGGAAACUGGAAACUGGAAACUGGAAAUGUGAAGAUAGGAGAUUUGGGAGGGGCCAGGGACAGAAUGAUAUGGUUUGGCUCUGUGUCCCCACAUAAAUCUCAUUUUGUAGCUCCCAUAAUUCCCACAUGCUGUGGGAGGGACCCAGUGGGAGACAACUGAAUCAUGGGGACAGGUCUUCCCUGCGCUGUUCUCAUGAUAGUGAAUGGGUCUCAAGAGAUCUGAUGGUUUUAAAAAUGGGGGUUUCUCUGCACAAGCUCUCUAUUUGUCUGCUACCAUCCACAUAAGAUGUGACUUGCUCCUCCUUGCCUUUAGCCAUUAUUGUAAGGUCUCCCCAGCCAUGUAGAACUGUAAGUCCAAUUAAACCUCUUUCUUUGGUAAAUUGCCCAGUCUCAGGUAUGUCUUUCUCAGCAGCAUGAAAAUGGACUAAUGCAGAGGAUCAAAGACAUAAUCUGGACUUUUUCCAGGCAUUUCGUCCUUAUCUUAGGAUGUUGUAUUCUCAGGACAUUCAGCAAGAGAAUUGCAAGCAACGGGAGGAAGAACUGGGUGAGCCAAGGCCACCCAGGGACCUGUUCUCUUGCACUUGCCAAGUUUGGUUUCACGGUUCUCUGGCCUCAUAAAGCUAGUUGGAAGGCAUUUUCUCUUCCUGUAUAUUCUGAAAGAGCUUGUAUAGAAUGUAUUGCUUCUUCCUUUAUUGUUUGGUAGACUUCAUUAAUAAAGCCAUCUGGGCUUUGUGGAAAUGUUUUUAAUUGUAGAUUCAACUUUAUUAACCAAUAUGAGACUUCUAUAGUUUCUAUUUAUUUUUGGAUUAGUUUCAAAAAAUUGUAUUUAUCAAGGAAUAUAUACAUUUUUCCCAAGUUGUCAAACUUACUGGAGUAAAAUUGUUUAUAAUAUUCCCUGUUUAUUCUUAUUCUUUUAAAUCUGUAGUCAUGUAUCUCAUUUUACUGCUGAUAUUGAUAAUUUAUAUUUUUUACUUUUUCUUAACUGGCCUUGCUAGGGGAUUACAAAUUUGUAUUAAUCUUUUCAUAGAAUUGACUUUUGGAUUUGUUGGUUUUCUCUAUUGUUCAUCUGUUUUCUGUUUCACUGAUUUCUGUUCUCAUCAUUGUCAUUUCCUCUUCUACAACCAUGGAGUUUAAUUUGCUCUUUUCUAUCUAGCUUUCUGAAGUGGAAGAUUACAUUUUUUAAAUAAAAUUAUUUUUCUUUCUAAUAUUUGCAUGUAGUAUUAAAAUGUCUUCUCUUAUCAAGGCUUUAGCUGCAUCCCACAAAAUUUGAUAUGUUGUAU